rnacentral:misc_RNA from 1 species
GGGGAAUUUUCCGCAAUGGGCGAAAGCCUGACGGAGCAAUACCGCGUGAGGGAGGAAGGCUCUUGGGUCGUAAACCUCUUUUCUCAGGGAAGAAGAAAGUGACAGUACCUGAGGAAUCAGCCUCGGCUAACUCCGUGCCAGCAGCCGCGGUAAUACGGAGGAGGCAAGCGUUAUCCGGAAUUAUUGGGCGUAAAGCGUCCGUAGGUGGCUCUUCAAGUCUGCUGUCAAAGAGUGGGGCUUAACCCUGCAAAGGCAGUGGAAACUGAAAGGCUAGAGAGCCGUAGGGGUAGAGGGAAUUCCCGGUGUAGCGGUGAAAUGCGUAGAGAUCGGGAAGAACAUCGGUGGCGAAAGCGCUCUACUGGACGGUAUCUGACACUGAGGGACGAAAGCUAGGGGAGCGAAUGGGAUUAGAUACCCCAGUAGUCCUAGCCGUAAACGAUGGAUACUAGGCGUGGCUUGUAUCGACCCGAGCCGUGCCGGAGCUAACGCGUUAAGUAUCCCGCCUGGGGAGUACGCACGCAAGUGUGAAACUCAAAGGAAUUGACGGGGGCCCGCACAAGCGGUGGAGUAUGUGGUUUAAUUCGAUGCAACGCGAAGAACCUUACCAGGGCUUGACAUGUCCGGAAUCUUCGGGAAACCGAAGAGUGCCUUCGGGAGCCGGAACACAGGUGGUGCAUGGCUGUCGUCAGCUCGUGUCGUGAGAUGUUGGGUUAAGUCCCGCAACGAGCGCAACCCUCGUCUUUAGUUGCCAGCAUUAAGUUGGGCACUCUAGAGAGACUGCCGGUGACAAACCGGAGGAAGGUGGGGAUGACGUCAAGUCAGCAUGCCCCUUACGUCCUGGGCUACACACGUACUACAAUGCUGCGGACAAAGGGCAGCAAGCCAGCGAUGGCAAGCCAAUCCCAUAAACCGUGGCUCAGUUCAGAUCGCAGGCUGCAACUCGCCUGCGUGAAGGAGGAAUCGCUAGUAAUCGCCGGUCAGCAUACGGCGGUGAAUCCGUUCCCGGGCCUUGUACACACCGCCCGUCACACCAUGGGAGCCGGUUUGGCCCGAAGUCGUUACCCUAACCUGAAAAGGAGGGGGAUGCCGAAGGCCGGGCUGGUGACUGGGGUGAAGUCGUAACAAGGUAGCCGUACCGGAAGGUGUGGCUGGAUCACCUCCUUUUUAGGGAGACCUGCUGAAUGAUGAAUAGAUGAAUUAUUCAUCAGUUUCAGACAUCCCAAGGUCGGUCGAGGAAAAAAACGAAGGCUUUCAAACUAUUGGUCGGGUUCGGGCAUGGGCUAUUAGCUCAGGUGGUUAGAGCGCACCCCUGAUAAGGGUGAGGUCCCUGGUUCGAGUCCAGGAUGGCCCACCUAAUUGAGCAAUAAGGGGACAAGCGAGGAGCGUUAUCCAACUUGCUUGAGGCAGGAGACUUCAGCACCGGCUCGAUGGAUUCAACCCGAGAGGCUGCUGGAUGUCAACGCCAGCCAGAACCUUGAAAACUGCAUAGCAACUAGUCAGGUAGGAGUUAGGAGUCAAAAAAACUUCCUAACAACUAAUACAGACAUCAAUGUGGUCAAGCUACAAAGGGCUUAUGGUGGAUACCUAGGCACACAGAGGCGAAG